rnacentral:rRNA from 1 species
CCUGCCUUGGAGUGGGAAUAACAGCUGGAAACAGCUGCUAAUACCGCAUAAUGCAGUUGGGUCGCAUGGCUCUGACUGCCAAAGAUUUAUCGCUCUGAGAUGGACUCGCGUCUGAUUAGCUAGUUGGUGGGGCAACGGCCCACCAAGGCGACGAUCAGUAGCCGGACUGAGAGGUUGGCCGGCCACAUUGGGACUGAGACACGGCCCAGACUCCUACGGAAGGCAGCAG